CAGCAAUUAAGAAUACAUAGCUCCAUCCUCCAUUUGCAAAUAGACCAUAUGCUUUUAGCAAUAAGAUUGUACAGCAAAUACAGGAUCCAUUACUUUGGCUUGAAAAGAGGGUUCAAAGCUUGAAGCUGACCACUGCAAAGGCCACUUGUCACAUUUACUGAAAAUCAACCUAUUGAUAUCACAGCUGAAAAUAUAAACUCGACAACCAAAGCCCAUUGCACAACGUGGACUGCGUAAGAGUUAAAAAUAGAUUCGACGUGCCUCCUACCUGCAUAAUAAAUAUUCCAUCAAAAUCCUGAGCAGUAUUGACAAACCACACGAGCACCGGGUCUGACUGCAUGAUCAGCUGUCUGUGUCUACGCUACACC